AUUGAACGCUGGCGGCAGGCUUAACACAUGCAAGUCGAGCGGGGGAAGGUAGCUUGCUACCGGACCUAGCGGCGGACGGGUGAGUAAUGCUUAGGAAUCUGCCUAUUAGUGGGGGACAACAUCUCGAAAGGGAUGCUAAUACCGCAUACGUCCUACGGGAGAAAGCAGGGGAUCUUCGGACCUUGCGCUAAUAGAUGAGCCUAAGUCGGAUUAGCUAGUUGGUGGGGUAAAGGCCUACCAAGGCAACGAUCUGUAGCGGGUCUGAGAGGAUGAUCCGCCACACUGGGACUGCGACACGGCCCAGACUCCUACGGGAGGUAGCAGUGGGGAAUAUUGGACAAUGGGGGGAACCCUGAUCCAGCCAUGCCGCGUGUGUGAGGAAGGCCUUAUGGUUGUAAAGCACUUUAAGCGAGGAGGAGGCUACUCUAGUUAAUACCUAGGGAUAGUGGACGUUACUCGCAGAAUAAGCACCGGCUAACUCUGUGCCAGCCGCCGCCGUAA
rnacentral:rRNA from 1 species